CACUCCGGUAGCUUAGUGGUUGGAACGUUCGCUUCGGAUGCGAGAGGUCGCGGGUUUGAAACCCGGUUGAGUCA